CAGCAGCCGCGGGAAUACGUAGGUGGCAAGCGUUGUCCGGAUUUAUUGGGCGUAAAGCGAGCGCAGGCGGUUCCUUAAGUCUGAUGUGAAAGCCCCCGGCUCAACCGGGGAGGGUCAUUGGAAACUGGGGAACUUGAGUGCAGAAGAGGAGAGUGGAAUUCCACGUGUAGCGGUGAAAUGCGUAGAGAUGUGGAGGAACACCAGUGGCGAAGGCGACUCUCUGGUCUGUAACUGACGCUGAGGAGCGAAAGCGUGGGGAGCGAACAGGAUUAGAUACCCCGGUAGUCCCUGUCUCUUAUAC
rnacentral:rRNA from 1 species